GACUGACAACAUCCCCAAACCCUCCGCGGAGAGGGUACAAUGACAAUAAAUAAACGAGAAGUGGAGUUUAAAUCGAGAAAAAAAAAGUCAAUUUAUUCUCAUUUUUAGUGAAUUUAAUAUUCGGCAUUGCUGUUUUCCAGGGGAUGCGUUGAUCCGAGGGAAGUUCCAUGAAGGCUGUUUUGGGCAAAACGCGCAAAUAAAGAGUUGGAAACAUUCCCAGUAUAUUCGUGGCAUGAAUGCCUACUCAUAUAGAUCUAUAUGGUGGCGUUGAAAAUCGUAUUUUCAGGUUCAUCCGAUAAUGUUAAUUAUGUAUUCCAGAUUUCAGAAGUUUCUAACAAUCGAGGAACAUAAAACACGUUUAACGGGAAUUGUCGGACUUUGAGGGAAACCGAACAAAACGCGGUUUAUGGGUCUGUUUGUCUUAUGGAAGAGUAUAAAAUAAAUGAUGUGACAUGUAGGGGAAAAACAUGGCCUCGACUGAAACGGUGCUGUAAGGCUGCACCGUUCUCUCACAUUCCAGCGCGUCGCAAAAAAAAGGGGGAUUUAGAGCGACUUAUUUCCUUAAAACGGUCCUCGCAUCCACAGAGUCAGCCAGUCAGCUCCCACCCGCCUGGUGCGGGCCCGCACCGGGAUUCAGCGACAAUAUUUACACGGGAGAACCCACCGAGAGACGCCACGCGGCCGGCGACCUGCGCGCAGCACUUGGAGCUGCAAGGAGACGCGGACGAGGAGACACGAAGGAGAGAGGAAAAUAGAGCGUGGGGGAAAAAGAGAGAGAGAGACACAUGAAGAUUUCGAUCAGGAGAAGCCGCGGAAUGGAUCAUAAGCCCGGAUUUCUUUUCCCAACCAAACCGCAGAAGGGAAGGGUUUUUUUAGGAGAAGAGGAAUUGCAACACAUCCAGGAGUUUGCCAACAAAACAAACGGAUGCAAUUAAACACACUCGCCUUCAGAUCAUCAAGAGAGGAGGCAAAGUCAAGACGCGCGGAAACUCCCACAAGGACAAACGUGAGAGGGAAGACGACUCGGCCUCCUCAAGGUUAAACUUGAACUUGGUUAAGAGCGUCGACUUCACUGCAACCCGGAUCCUGCUUUCUUCUUCCUGCACGUCGCUCACUGUGUUUUUGAAUUAAACAUCCAUUCAACCACCCCGUAAGAACUAAGUCGAUGCUAUAUUUCCACUGCUUUUGCUUAAAAAGUGUUUCCUCUGUAUCUGAAAAAGUAAUUAAAAUUAAACAAUUUUUUUUGCAAAUUAGUUUAUCUUUUUUUUUUUUUUAUACCGCCUCCCUGCUCUCCCAACCUCAGCUAGCCUUCUCCUGUGUGUGCUGAGGUGUCUGCAUGUCGAGUAAAACCUGCCCUGCAGACCGGACCUCUUGGAGUCUUCAAAGGAGCGGGAACCCAAUGUGGGGGGAUUUGUUCAGGCUUAUUUGGUAACCUAGGAUUUGAAUUGGAUUCUGGGAGGCAUUCAUAACACAUUUGAAAAUGUUACAUUGUGUGAUUUUGUGUGUAAUCCCCAUAAUAAAUUUCAGAAAUGGUCACAGCACUUGCACAACUGUGACUAUUCAUGAUGUUUCCAAUGGUUUUCUUGUCUUGCCUCUCGGGGGUGAGGUGUGCGACGCUGGCAGGGAGCCGGAGCAUCUCGUCCGCCCCAGAUGGGAGAGCGCCGUCGAGGAGGUGAUUCCUGCCUCCUUUGACCUUUUCUCUCUCAACACUUUUAUGUUCCCUUAAGGACCCUAAGUACGUGAGAGGGUCAGCCACUGUGCCUCCAGAGGGAUUCUUUCAGACCCCCCAACCAGCACGGGUGCAUUAAAACCUCGAGUGGAUUAUACCUCCCUGGCAGGCAGUUAGUGUACACACACAGACACACACCGAGGGUGCAGUUUAUUAAAGUGCGUAUACUUGAUCAAAGCCACGGCCAAAGAUUAUUAGGUUGGUCUCUUUCAUGCGUUGUGCCUUAGAGUUUUAUACUUUGCAUCAAUAAGUAGAAAGCGGUACGGCUGUAUUGUUUAUAAAAUAAUUGAUAUUGAUAUAUAAUUUUAUAGGCCCCUUUUAGAUAUGUUUUACGAUGAUGAGAUACACAGAUCUGAAUAAUUAUUUGUGUUUGAUGUGUUUUUUUACACAAAAAGAGUUCACUUACGUAUUAACGCAUAAAAUCUGCUUCUUCUUCCUCAUUGAAGCGCUUUAACUGCUGGACAGAUUGUCAGUUGUCUCCCCACUUUGUGUAAAAGUCUAUUUUUAAUGUUGGUUCACUGCACGUGUGUGUUUGACAUCCAGAGUUUUGAUGCCACAGCUCGUAGUUUCAAACUGCAUCGCUCUGCUCAGAGAAGGAAAAUCAUCCAAGUGAAGUAUCAAUGAGCAAAACCUAUUCCACAAGUUGAGGGUGGGGGGGGCUUAUCAUGCCCUUUAUCAUCAAAACGAGUCAUUUGUGGCCAGGUGUUUCAUGCAAAGAUGUGGAAUUGUGUUUCGGAUGCUCCAGAAGGAGGGAAAGAUGUUAUCCGGACCUGGUCCAACACAUUUGGAUGGUUUGAUGGUUUCACUGCUAGGAUUUCUUGUCUCUUACAUGUAACUCUCCCGCCUUAGUUUGAUAAGAGCGAGAGCUUGUGUGUGUGUGU